rnacentral:misc_RNA from 1 species
CCUUCUCGCCUUAAGGGCGCCUAAGGCUUUUGACAACACCGAUAGGGGGAAGAGGAAUAGAAAUCCUACCCUUAUGGCAUCUCCUUUGGAGAGAGUUAUCAAUUAUGAGAUCUUAUUGCAUUAACCCAAGAAAAAUACGGCAAAAAUGCACGUAUAGUAACUGUGAACUUGUAAAUCAGACCAGUGAUAAAAAGCUCACAAAAUCUGAAGCAAACAUAGAAUAGAAGCACUGGAUAGAACAAGUUGUGCUCUCUUAAAUAAUGCUUGCAGAUUGUAUCAAAUGAUUCCUGAUGAUAUUUUAUGCAUGUUAUUGCCAUUGCCAAAUUCCUUGGUUACAAUAAUCCAAUAUUAACGUAUAGUAUUUUCCAUUUUAGUUGCAGCCAGUGGGUUUUCAAUAUCAUGGAUAUUCUUUAUGGUAGAAAUUCCAGAAUCAAUCACCUG